AUCACUGUAUUGAAACCAUUCCCGUAAAAAAACGCACGGACUAUCCUAAAUCACCGAUAUCAUCGAGGUUUUCGCUCCUUCAUUGUCUCCUUCCUCUCGUCGCUGCCCUUCACAUCUCUGAGAAAACCGAGGAAUCAGCAAAAGGUACAUUGGCUUUAUAUCAACGCAAUUGAAGCUAUAAUAUUUGGGUGAAUCACACAAUGCCCAAACACAGUAGUCAUACCUCUUUCUUGAGGAUGGAGACAUGCUAAAAGCAAGCUUAUGUGAAGACUGCAUUCUAUGAACGGUUAAUAUUAAGACGUUUACUGUGAAGAACUAUUAGAUCUAUGACCUGGAUCCUCCGCGUCGAGCACCGCCGACAUGACUCGAUCGGAGCCAUCGUCCUGCGCGGGGCCCCAGUCGGUCCACGCGUUCUCGCCAUAGUGGAGAUCGGCGAAGAGCGCGAUCUUGAAGGGCGAUCCGUCAGCAGAGAACCGGAGCGGAUUCGCGUUCGGAAGGGGGAGAAGCGGAUCCUGGCGCCGGCUGUCGGACAAGGCGACAAGAGUGCUCACCAGGAAGCAGAAGAAGAGGAGGAGGAGGAAGGCGAUGGAAGGGUGAGCUCGCCCCAUCCAGUAUAGCCUCCGGCAGCGAAAUCACACGCUCCACGGCGACUACAUGUCGCUUCGCCAACAAGUAGAAUAACAGAAUAUUCCUUGAAGAAUGCUUCCCGUCGCCGUAUUAAUAACAUUUGUUGGGAAGCGAAGUGCCGGGAAUAUAUCUUCUUCGUAUUUAUAAGCAAAUUAGUUGCUUGCUGAAUUGGUGAUGGACUAAUGUUCAAUUAAUGUAUCAACGGCAUAUAAAUCUAAAAGUGAUUUUUUUUUUAAUA